GAGGCGAAGAGCUCCAAUCUUCCAGUGCAUAAAGAUUGGGACGAGGGUCGUCCGCGCUCUCCGACCAAGUUUCAGGAGGCCGAGUCUCCUUUCGGCUGAAAUCGUCGUGCGAGGGGGCAUCAAAUUUGGGGUUCGAGUGAUUUUUUACGGGAGAUCUCGGAAUAAAGUUUCUUCGAGCUUACCGUCCGAUAAUAGUGGAGCACCUGAAAUUUCCAAAAUCCGAUAAAUAAUUACACUGCGCCGAGAUUGAAUUCCGUGGCAGUUCGGGCCUCGAGAAACUACUUUGAUUACUAAAAAAAGGAGGAUAUAAAAAGCUCCGGUUUCCGGGCUCGAGUAACGCGCCUCGACGAAUUCGUAAAUACGCAGCCUCAUAGCCAAGUCGCUUAGUCGAUAGUUUUUUCCUCUAUUCUUCGACAUUUUCGAUCUCUACUUUUUUUUCCUUCACUUCGUCUUUUAGUCGCUCGAGCAUCACUUUUUUUCGAGAGCCCCCCCCCGCGGCGGCGUCAGCGACGAAAAGUUUCGCCUCGGAUUCCUUUCACGAUCUUGUAAAGUUUACAACGAGCCACGAGACGCGCGCGACACGCCCUUUAUCGAAAGCUGCGUCUUUUAUUAUCCUCCUUUUCAAGCUCUUCUUCUAUUUUUUCUUAUCGGCGCUGCAAUAUCGGAAAGAUUUCACUCCCCUCCCCCGGCCCCCGUUGAAAUGGCUCCGGGACGCGUUGAAACGACAUACGUACCAGAAGUGGAGGAGCAUGCUCGAAGGGAACAGGAACGCCGGGUCGUUCAAGAGGGCACUGCCGUGUGGAGACGUCGGAAAGAGGAGCUCCAGCGGCAAAGAUAUCGCGAACAACGCGAAUUACGCCAAAUGCAGAUGAACUACUCGCCAUGGGGUAAGCCCGGUGGUGGGGCCCCGUAUGCCGGCUCCAUGCGAAAGAAAAACGUUCUAUUGGAGCCUUUGGACUUCGCUAAAACUUGUGGCUACACUAAUCAGCUGGCGCAACCCACGUCACCGUGGGGUCGUCCCGGUCCUGGCGGAGUUCCAUGGAGGGAUCCAAAGUUGCUGGGAGUGCGAUUUCGCGAGUCCAUGGGUUGGACGAGUGGUUCCCUGAUCGCGAGACUUCGCGAUAGUAAAACGGAAAUCGAUCCUCUCGCACCCGUCGAUACGAACACGUUCUUCGACAACGCUUCGAGACCCGAUACAGCACCGGAUCUACGUACGGACAAAUCGAAUGUCGACGGGGAUGAUGGAAUAAAUCGUGACGCCCGAAAAAACGAUUAUCGGGAAGAAGUUCAAGUUUACAAACUCACUGGGGGCGUCGAAUUGGUGCCUCUGUUGACGAGAUAUCAUUAUUCACCACCUCACGGCUCACGUUUCAUCGCCACGGAUGCUACUCGUCCUGGAUAUGUGAUAGACAGCACCGUCACGAGAAUUGUAGGAUGCAAAACUUGUUGAAGGGAAAUUUGCACCUGAUUUGGGUCGUACGUGGGGGUUAUUGCACCGCAAACAAAACGCAUCCGAUCGUGCCCCACAAACAAGUACUCCUCGGCGCAAUAUCGACUCCUGUAAUACUCAGCUUUUUUCGAUAUUACCGACAUUUGAUGGAUAGUUACGCAAAAGUUACUGGGACAAAAUAUAUACACAGAGAAAACCGAUUCCUUUUGUACAGUGAGGAAUAUAUUAUUUUUCAAGAAUCUUCAAAGUGUUUAAGCACCGAUUACAAACAGCAUAGUAUUUUUUGAAUUUUGACAUUU
rnacentral:misc_RNA from 1 species